AUUGAACGCUGGCGGCAGGCCUAACACAUGCAAGUCGAACGAGUGGCGGACGGGUGAGUAAUGUCUGGGAAACUGCCUGAUGGAGGGGGCUAACUACUGGAAACGGUAGCUAAUACCGCAUACCAUCGGAUGUGCCCAGAUGGGAUUAGCUAGUGGGUGGGGUAAAGGUUCACCGAGGCGACGAUCCCUAGCUGGUCUGAGAGGAUGACAAGCCAAACUGGAACGGAGGCACGGUCCAGACUCCUACGAGGGGCAGCAGUGGGGAAUAUUGCACAAUGGGCGCGGACCUAAUGCAGCCAUGCCGCGUGUAUGAAGAAGGCCUUCGGGUUGUAAAGUACGUUCAGCGGGGAGGCGUUAUCCGCAGAAGAAGCACCGGCUAACUCCGUGCCAGCAGCCGCGGUAAUAC
rnacentral:rRNA from 1 species